rnacentral:rRNA from 1 species
GCGGUGGAUGAUGUGGAUUAAUUCGAUGCAACGCGAAAAACCUUACCUACCCUUGACAUGUCCGGAAUCCCGAAGAGAUUUGGGAGUGCUCGCAAGAGAACCGGAACACAGGUGCUGCAUGGCUGUCGUCAGCUCGUGUCGUGAGAUGUUGGGUUAAGUCCCGCAACGAGCGCAACCCUUGUCAUUAGUUGCCAUCAUUUGGUUGGGCACUCUAAUGAGACUGCCGGUGACAAACCGGAGGAAGGUGGGGAUGACGUCAAGUCCUCAUGGCCCUUAUGGGUAGGGCUUCACACGUCAUACAAUGGUCGGUACAGAGGGUUGCCAACCCGCGAGGGGGAGCCAAUCCCAUAAAGCCAGUCGUAGUCCGGAUCGUAGUCUGCAACUCGACUACGUGAAGUCGGAAUCGCUAGUAAUCGUGGAUCAGAAUGUCACGGUGAAUACGUUCCCGGGUCUU